rnacentral:lncRNA from 1 species
GCAUGAUAUGGUAUGGAAGUCCAGGUUGUACCCAUUCUACGUCCCUGGCACGAUGUAAGAGAAAGUCCAGGUUGUACCCAUUCUACGUCCCUAGCACAUUGGUAUGUUAUGAUAUGUUAUGAUAAGGGAAAGACCGGUUGUACCCAUUCUACGUCCCGGCACAGUUGGACUAUGUAGAGGACUAUUGGUGACAAUACCAUCCGAGAUGUGAUUAGUUGUGAUGUGUUGCAUUACAUAAUGGCAUGAAAUUUUAAAUGUAUGUUUUCACUAUUCUGCUCACUGGGCUUUGUAGCUCACCCCUCUCCCCUAACCCCAGAUGUGCAGGUACAGGGUAGACCAGGAGGUUAGCCAGAGUUUUGAAGUAUGUGUAUGUAAUAGUUAGAUGGUGGACAUGACAGUUGUACUAUAAUGUAAUGUAAGAGAUUAC